AAGGUGGUACCUGCGCCGCAUCCAGCGCCCCUGCCACUGAGUCUCCGCUCCAGAGAUGUUCGCGGAGAAGCUGCUGGUAGUUGAGGCAGUGCUUCGCAGCAGAUGGUAGAUUCCCCAUAGCAGCAGCCUAGGUGCCGUGGGCGGUGCUGGAUCCCACGGCCGGAGCCGAGAGCCGGACACAACUGAGAUGAGUAAUCUACUCUUGCUACGAAGAUGUUCUGUCUACUCUUGGUCCUAAAGCAAUGGAAAAAGCCAGCCAUGGGCAGAAAUGUCUAAAACUAUUCAGCAUAUCUGGUUUUAUGUGGAUGCCCUUGAUCCACUUGGACUUGAGCCUUGUACAGGGAGAUAAGAGUGGAUCAAUUUGCAUUCUUCUACAUGCAGACCGCCAGUUGAACCAGCACCAUUUGUUGAAAAUGCGGUCUUUUUUCCCACUGGAUGAUUUUGUCUUCUUUGUCAAAGAUCAAGUGACCAUAGAUGAAGUUAAGAAUUGCUCUUCGCAUCUCAGUGAAGAAUUGAGUUGAAAUUUUGAUGGGGAUUGCACUGAACCUGUAGAUUGCUUGUGAUGCCGUUAACGAAUAUCCUUGUGGCCUGAUCUUCUGAGCCCCCUUGCUCCUUCUAUAACAGCCACCUUUCUACCCAAAACAAGUACAGCCUUGCUUUAUACGUAAAUAAGAGGAAACACUGCCAUCGCUCACAAGUCUUCAUACUUUCUCCUGUUUUCAUCUUCUCCAACUUGAUAGAACACAGAUGUAGACUCGGUGAUGUGUCUGCUUUAUCAGCUGCUGUAUCUUCACUCUUCACUUCAAACUUUCCAGCCUGCCUCCCCUCAAACAGGGGGACUCAGAAAGCGUACGAGAACACGUGACUCAAGACGGGAUCUGAAAGAUAGAUUGAGCACUAGAGUGGACAGCUACAAGGUGGUUGCCUGUGUUUGGGAAUAAGGAUUUCUUCUGCCCUGAGCAACACUGCAGUGGAAGCUAAUUAUUCAUUGUAAAUGUCUUGAGAGAUCACAGUUGCCAGGCGUAGAGUUGCCAGCAGGCUCUGGCUCGGAUUUGAUGACGAUGAUACAGGGAAUAUGAAGUGAUGGUUCUUCGGCUGAAAAAUAAUUUUGGGUUUUCAGUCUGUUUUCUUUAGCUCGAUGUAGAAUUCUUUAGCCUUGGUUUCUUUUAUUUAAAAAAAAAACUUGAGUAUUUAUGAUUUAUGUCCCCUUAUUUCCAAACUGGAUAAAGCACUUUCACAAAGCAGAACACGUGUAAAGUAGAAACAUUUCCAAAGUGCACAAAAAACGCCAGCACCCUAGCUACUUAUAAAGACUUAAACCUAUUAAAAACUAAAUUUUUGUCUCUGGUAAUAGCUAGAAUAUUACUAAGAUAAUAUUAAGAACUUAGGACAAUUAUUUGAGACUAUCCUGAGUACACACACAUAUAAUUUUUGGAAGAUGCGAAAUCAGUGUCACUUAGAGUGUUUCUUUGUAUGUACACACGUGUGUGCCCCUGUGUUUUCAGGUAUGUAUGAGCACACAUACAAGUGGAGGCUCAAGGGCCACCUCGGGCAUCCCUGCUGAGGAGACACCCACACUGGUUUUUGAGACUGGAUCUUUCACUGGGAUCUGAUUCUCGCCACCUGGGCAGGCUGGAAACGCCUGGUGAUUCUCCCUUUCGUCAGCACUGAGACUGCGUGUGCACACCUCAGCAUCCUGCUGGCUCUGGGGAUUGACUGCAGCUCCUCAUGUUUCUAUGCAGCACUUCACUGAGCCACCUCCACAGUCCCUAUUCUCACCCUCCUUAUUUCUUGUUCUACACGAACAAGAAAAAAAAUUAACUGUUUUCCCACUCUUAAUUAUACUUACUAUUUUAAAUAUGUCUUUAACGUUUGGACAGAUUUUUUUUUAAAGCUAUAAAUCAGAGACUGGUGUUUUGUCCACUUAUUAGUUGAGUGAACUAUGAGAAGUACAAGGAUCGUCAUCAACUGAAAGCAAUUCAUGACCUAUUAUAAUUAAGAAACAUUUUACAUCUGAUAAAUAUUUUAGUUCAGGAUGCAUUCCCAUUUUAUUUUAUUUUUUUUUAGUAAAGAACUAUGCCACACACAUACACACACAAAUCACAACAGAGAUUGACAUUAUGAGUUUAAUAAAUUUUAAAUGUAAACAUACAUCCAAGUAGUACAUUUUAAGAAUAAUAUAAUAGAAUUCUAUUUCUUAAUCUCUAGCCUUAUCCUCAUUGAUACACUAUUAAGUUAUUAACUAAAAAUAUAUUACUUAGUGCAUCCCCCAAUAUCAUCAAUAUCAUAGUUUCUAUAUUGUAAACUGUGUUUUAAAACAACAUUGUAAAAUAUCUGAAUUACAAACAAGCCACAAUGUCUGAAAGUUAGUAAGGAUGGAUUCUUGCUUGAAAGCUACAAGCGGGGAGUUGGGAAUGGCGCUCCAUGAAUAUUUUCAGUUGAUUGCUACAAGCCUCACCACGGAGCUCACAAAAAGUUGGAAGACUAGAGCCCCACUCCUCAGAAAGUCAGCGUGGGCUGGAGAAAGACCUUAGUAACCAGUCACCCUUCCAACAGAGAUGAAAUAAAUAAACAUCAGAGAGAAAAGCAUGCGCGUGAACGCGCGCGCGCGCGCGCGCGCGCACACACACACACACACACGCACGCACGCACGCACGCACGCACGCACGCACGCACGCACGCACCACACUUCACACCACCCCAGAACCUUCCCUACCCUACUUACUCAUGCUCAGAGGAAGUUUUCCAAAAUCCCUUUGUAAAAUUGGGGGUUUUCACUGAGUUUUUUCCCAAAAAAUGUGAAAAACAGGAUUUAGCUGUUUUAAAAUGGUGGUUCUGUCAAAGCAACUCUGGGAAUUUUUUUUUUCAGUUUAAUGACAAUAUUCUCACACUGAAUAAAAUCCCUUAUAUCACAUCAGCUGGAAAUGUCUAUUAUAAAGGCAAGUGACAGCAAGACACUGUGUCGACGUGAUGGGUUCCAGCACAUUUUAUGCAUGAAAUGACUCUUGUCUGUAGGGAAUGGAAUGGAGUACAUGUGAUUAUUUCCUUACUUUGGGUUAAGUUUUAAACAAGAAAGAAAGAAAAAACCCACUGUAGCAGUAGUGUUCUAGAUAAUGGCUGGGCUGAUUUAUUUGAGGUACUUUUUUGUGUCAGUUUGGAAACAGGUGGAAGUAGACUCAAGCCUGAAGCUUUCAUCUUCUUGCAAAAACAGAACAAAAGAAAAACAAACAAAACAAAACAAAAGAGAAAAAAUCUGCCGGUCAGAAGCAAGAGGCAGCAUGUUUCUAGAGGUCCACCAAUUCCAUUAAAGGGAACAGUUAAAAGAAUUACAAAGUCUUCCAGCUUCUGUGUCUUGCCUACUGAUCACUAACUCAAAUCCAGUUCCACAUUUUACUUUAGCCAAAGAAGCACAAAUGGUAAACAAUGUGGUUUUUAAAAUUUUGGUUGUUAGUUACUUUAUUUCUAGAUAUCCUAUCUUAGUUUUAGUUAGUGCAAUAUGUCAGAUAUAUUCAUUUCCCUCCAACAUUAAGCUGUCAAAGGAAUUCUACUUAAUAUCAGAAAGUUAUUUAUAUUAGCCUUGGGAAAAAUGUUAGCAUAGUGUUAAACUGGACCCACCACACCCCAACAAAAGUUAGAAUAGGAAUCUAUUAUAUAAUAGGGGGAUCUUUAACAGGUUUUACUGGUAAGGUAUCCAAAAGAGAAUACAUAAUUUUAAAUAAAUAAGAAGUGUAUAUACAUGAUAUCAUACAUAGAGAGAUGAAAUGACCCAGGUUGAUUUUAGGAAAUUCCCCAUUCCCCUGCUUUUUAUUGUGGUCAUAAACAUAGCACAGAUCUGUUUUGUUAUUAUCACAGGCACUUCCAGCUAGUGGCAGCCACACGAACGUACUACCAUAUUUCUGUACUUUUUCAAAAUGACAUUGGAGCUGUCAUCAAAAUACAGGACCGAGAUGGCAUUUAGUUUGGUUGGAGCGCAGCAAGGCUUGGGAACAUGGUCUGGAAACAUCAGGUGUACCUGGCAAAGAAAGAAGGGGGAAAAGAAAGAGAUAUGUCUGUUAGCAAAGUGCAGUGAACAUUUAUUUCAUUGCCAUCUUUAAGAAUAUGAUGUUUAUAUCACAACGCUUUGAUGAGGGAACUCGUCGCCUGACUCCUUUAUACCCUGUUGAUAACUGGGUGGGGGCUGAUUGGCAGGGCACAUUCUCGAUCAACAGUCACUAAGAAUGAAACCCAACAGUUCUAAGUAAGUGUGGGUGUGGACAGUUCUAAGUAAGUGUGGGGGUGGGGGCUUGUAAUACAGUUCAUCAAAUAAGGCAAGCUCUGGAAGGAGUAUAUUUUUUUUCAGAAUUUUUCUUAGAGAAAAGCAUAACAUUUUGUAUUGCCCUGCUUGUAAUUGACCCAGUCUCUUCUACACACACUCCUAGAGUAACAGAGGCUGUAGGCUCAAGUCAGUGAAGACACACUUGAACUUCAGAAAGUUCUAAGUCUGCAAAAUAUUGUAAUAGGAUAGUUAAACGAUACCUCACAGACGUUGUGCCAACUUUUAUUUUUCCACGGGAAAGAUAAGCUAAAAACCACAAUGAAAUAAAAUCUAUAUUUGUUUUGCCU
ensembl:antisense Gm26903 predicted gene, 26903